GGGCAACUCCUUCUGUGAUACUUUGUAUUUUCUUCCCAUUCUCUGUUGCCUUAUCCACCCUCGGAUGCUUCUGAGGGGUUCUGACUCCCACUGUGUAACAGGCAGCGUCAGGGAGUAUCCUCAUGGGAGCUGCCUGCCGACUGUGCACUCCUAUUCCGAGAGGCUUCUUCCCUUGGCACCAGACAGGUUCUGAGAUGACUGUGUAAGAACCCAUAACUUCUGCAGCCUGGGCUAAGAUAUACUGUCAACCUAGAAGACUGGGGAUGCUGGCAAGAAACAGAAAAGGCUUAAGAUUAAUCGUGAAACCAAAGAGACUUUGACCCCUGUUUUCUGAUGUUUCUAUAGCCAAGAACCCAUCGAUUUUAAAUGCGUUAGGUUUCCAUUCAAGCAGAGUGAAGGAGAGGAUACUUUAGCUCUAUACUGGAGGACAGAGGAAAAUAUUUCUUUUUAAUAAACAGUUAUUUAUAGAUCAUUAGGGCUUCAGUCCUCAGAUUUCCAGGUAAAGUUACAAGCCUGUUUGGCCAAAGAGGAAAAUAGAAGGAGCCCUGAUGUCUUUGUCAAGGUGUUUCAUGAGCUUCGCUUAGCACUGCUGAUCUAAGGGGCUUCACAGCAAAAUGGAACAUGCUGAAGGCUGCCUCGUCCUUACACAGGAGUGCAGAGUCUGUGUGUAUACUCUCUCUCUCAGGAGGCCUGUCAAUCAGGGCUACCCGAUAUCCCUGCCAGCCCACAGAGUGAAGUGAAUACCAGUUCCCACCCUGCUUCAGAGAUAGUCUGUGUGAAAGGAGCUGCGAUCUCUGGAAGCAGUGCACUACAUCAACUUCCUUCCUUGGUGACCAGAAACAUUGAGUGUUGGUGUGACACAGAGCUUAGUCUGGGGACACCGACUGAGCCCCUGACCCUGUGACAAUGUGUUCUCAUUUCAGCCACCUGGGGGUCAGAGAUGCCUGCUUUAGUCAGGCACAGUGGGCUCGGUCUGGUGUCCCAAUCUGCCCACUGCCUUGUGAUUUAGUAAUAAUCCCAGGAGCUUGUUUGUCCUUAAAUCCGAACGUCAUAGCCUAUGCUUCAGUUUUUUUUUUUUUUUUUUUUUACUGUGCGCUUUUAUUUUAAAAGUUAACUACUUUUUAUAAUCCUUGCACUUCGCAGUUUGUGAAAACACAGAAAUGAUGUUGAAUAUGUUUUUAUUUAGAACUCACUCAGCACUGUAGCCCUGCAGAUGGUUCUAAAGAAGGAGGAGGGAGAGCAGGUAAAGAUUUGGCACGAGCAAGCUCAGUGCUGAUACAUUUAUGCCUUUGCCUUUAAAACUUUCGGGUGGAAGAACUGAACAAUGCUCCCUUGGAUACUUUGUUACUGGGCUUGGUUGAGUUUGCCUUGCUGCUGACUGUUGAGUGGUUUCCAUCCUGGGUUUAGUACACGUGUUUGCUUUUCACUUUCAUCAGUUUGGGAACACAACAGGAAAUAUAUAGUGACUGCUAGCUGCCACUUGACAUAGCCAUAUUCACCCAUUCCUACAGGAAGCCCAUGAGAUGAAAAAGAGGGUCCAUUCCGAAGAGCCCAGGGUGCUCAGUGUUUCCGUAGGGCUGCUUGGUGCUUUCCAUAGCGUGUCACUGGCAAAGCAAAGGAAAAUGUGAUUUGUUGUAUCACUUCAGGGUGGGAUGUUUCUCUGUCCCUCCAGUGUUUUCUUACCUAGUUAUUUUUUAUGGAAAAGGAUAAUUCUCGAAUUAUACUCUGUUAUGACUAACACUUUUCUUCGUUUGAAAGAUUGUACUGAGUCCAUAGUUUGGAGUAUGGCAUUCACACACACACACACACACACACACACACACACACACACACACACACACACACACACACAUCAGCAUUGUCGCAUAUCCAUAACAGUGUUUGCGCUUCUGACACCUGUGAACCACGGAGCUGUGUUCAUUUUGUCUUUUUGGACGAUGGAAGGAAAUGUGUUCAAAUAAAAUAGCUCUCAAUC
rnacentral:lncRNA from 1 species